rnacentral:rRNA from 1 species
AUGAACAAAAAAAUCUGUCAAAAUAAUAAACGAAUCAAGAACAGUAGGAAUACUUUGUAUAUCAGCUGCAUGGAUGGUUGGAUACCUUGUAACAUCCCGUGCUCCUAA